rnacentral:rRNA from 1 species
UGGGGAAUAUUGCACAAUGGGCGCAAGCCUGAUGCAGCAACGCCGCGUGAGGGACGACGGCCUUCGGGUUGUAAACCUCUUUUAGUAGGGAAGAAGCGAAAGUGGCGGUACCUGCAGAAAAAGCACCGGCUAACUACGUGCCAGCAGCCGCGGUAAUACGUAGGGUGCGAGCGUUGUCCGGAAUUAUUGGGCGUAAAGAGCUCGUAGGCGGUCUGUCGCGUCUGCUGUGAAAACCCGAGGCUCAACCUCGGGCCUGCAGUGGGUACGGGCAGACUAGAGUGCGGUAGGGGAGAAUGGAAUUCCUGGUGUAGCGGUGGAAUGCGCAGAUAUCAGGAGGAACACCGAUGGCGAAGGCAGUUCUCUGGGCCGUAACUGACGCUGAGGAGCGAAAGCGUGGGGAGCGAACAGGAUUAGAUACCCUGGUAGUCCACGCCGUAAACGUUGGGCGCUAGAUGUGGGGACCAUUCCACGGUUUCCGUGUCGCAGCUAACGCAUUAAGCGCCCCGCCUGGGGAGUACGGCCGAAGGCUAAAAACCUUUGAAAGGG